rnacentral:snoRNA from 1 species
UCCAUUUCAGGGUCGCACCUGGAGAGUUUCCAGUACUCUACCAGUCUUGAGUAUGGGAGGGAGAGUGAAGCAGAGGCCUGUCCAUUCCAUUCCUAGCUUAGGCAGCAGCUAGCGAGUGGAAGACACUCUGCUACAAGU